rnacentral:tRNA from 1 species
GGGGUUAUAGCUCAGUGGCAGAGUGUGUGCUUAGCAUGCACGAGAUCCUGGGUUUAAUCUCCAGCACCCCCA